rnacentral:misc_RNA from 1 species
AUCUUAACCUGUACAAACUGUUCGUAAACAUCGUUUUGAAUUAUAAACCAACAUGCAAUGUGAGAAUAGUCUUCCAGAUACGUUUACACCAGAAUUUCAUGACAACCGUGCUGUUUUACAAAUGCCCCACAAUACUUUAGGAAAAACUGGAUUGAAGGUGUCAAAACUAAGUUUUGGGGCAUCGUCCUUAGGAAACGUUUUCCGUUCAACCAAUGAGAGUGAGAGUAUAGAGGUGGUUCGUGAGGCCCUCCGACAGGGUAUAAAUUACAUUGAUGUUGCGCCUUGGUAUGGACACGGGCUGGCAGAGAAGGUGCUGGGAAAGGCAUUGGAUGGCAUCCCCAGAACCGCAUAUUAUAUUGCUACAAAAGUAGGCCGCUAUCAACCGGAAGUGGACAAAAUGUUUGAUUUUUCUGCUGAGAGGACGUUACGGAGUGUGGACGAAAGUUUACAAAGAAUGGGACUCGACUUUGUCGAUAUUAUACAGGUCCAUGAUAUGGAAUUUGCACCUAGUCUAGAUAUUAUCAUAAACGAAACUCUUCCGGCGUUGCAAAAAGUUCAGCAAAGCGGUAAAGCUCGGUUUAUAGGAAUCACUGGAUAUCCACUCGGAAACUUUCGAACUGUGCUCGAGAGAAGUACCGUAAAAAUCGACACAGUUUUGACAUACUGUAGAGCAUGUAUCCAUGACAACGGAUUGCAAGAAUAUAUACCGUUCUUUCAGGAAAGGGGCAUAGGCAUUAUCAAUGCUUCACCGAUUGCAAUGGGCCUACUUUCAAAUCAAGGACCGCCCGAUUGGCAUCCUGCAACAAAAGAUAUCAAAGAAGCUUGUGCUAGAUCAGCAUCAUUUUGUAGGGAAAAUGACUGCGAUAUUUCAAAACUUGCAAUGGCGUAUACCUUGGGGUUUCCUGGCAUACACACCACAUUGUUUAGUACUGCAAGUUUGGGAAAUUUAAGAAAAAAUUUAGCAUGUGCUAACACUCAACUCUCACACAAAGAAGAAGACGUUUUAAAGGAUGUUAUUAAAAGGUAUAUAAGGAUCAUUAUUAUGUGCAAUUUAUAGUAAUAAUUGCUUAAUUUUAUAAGAUGAUAUGUCGAAUUGAUCAAAAAAUAAUUUGAUUCAUACUAAUUUUUUUUGUUUGUUUUUGUUUUUGGUUCUUUUGGGGUUUUUGUUUUUUUUAUAUAAUUUUCGUAUUGACACUCUAUUGGCCAAACUUGUGAAGAGAAGUCGAAUUGAAUGGCAUGAUUAAGCAAUAGUUGGGUUUCCAAGAAGUCUUAUAUGCAUACAAAUAUUUCUUUGUUGAAGUUAUUUCAUUGAAUGUUAUAUAGGUAUAUAGAUCCGCUCCCAGUACACCAUUGGGAGGGUGUAGAGGUUGACGAAUACAAGCGUCAACUACAGGGUGUACCAGAUGAACAUACCUUCAAACUUGGAUGACGCUGUUCAUUAAUAUUAUUUUAGAGGCGCCUGGUUUAUCAAUGCAGUAUUUAUUUUUUAUUCAAAGUAAAAACAUGCUCAAAACU